rnacentral:misc_RNA from 1 species
UUCUGAAAUGUAGCAACCACUUCGAACAGAAACAAAAAUAAUUCACUGACCUUAAGAAAUUGCCAGUACAAUAUUGUACUAAGAAAAACUAUGGAGGAGUUAAAUCAAGCCACCAGCCCAACACUACACCCGCAACACCAAUACCCAUAUAGAUAUGUGAUUACAUGUACUACAUGUGCAACACAGGAAAAUAGAGAAAACAAGUAGCUCUACUAAAUUACAUAGAAGAAAACAAGCAGUGCCAAGAAUGUGUGAGAGUGAGAGAGAGAGAGAGA